rnacentral:rRNA from 1 species
GACGAACCGUACAAACGUUGUUCGGAAUUACUGGGCGUAAAGGGCUCGUAGGCGGCCAACUAAGUCCGACGUGAAAUCCCAAGGCUUAACCUUGGAACUGCGUCGGAUACUGGAUGGCUUGAAUUCGGGAGAGGGAUGCAGAAUUCCAGGUGUAGCGGUGAAAUGCGUAGAUAUCUGGAGGAAUACCGGUGGCGAAGGCGGCAUCCUGGACCGACAUUGACGCUGAGGAGCGAAAGCUAGGGGAGCAAACGGG